UUACGGUCAUAUCACCUUCAAACACCUGUUCUCGUACAAUUACCGAAGUUAAGCAACGUCGAUUCUGGGCGGUAUCUAGAUGAGUGACCGCUUGGGAAUAUCGGGUGCUGCAAG